rnacentral:rRNA from 1 species
GCAGCGCAAGGGUGAGUAAUACAUGGCUAACAUACCCCAAACAUGAGAAUAACUAUUAGAAAUGAUAGCUAAUGCUCAAUAGUUUCUUAAGACCUCCUGGUCUAAAGAAUAAAGGUAGGGAUCCUUCGGGACCUUCCGGUUUGGGAGUGGGUCAUGGGCUAUCAGCUAGUUGGUGAGGUAAAGGCACACCAAGGCUAAGACGGCUAGGCGAUCUGAGAGGAUGAUCGCCCACAUCGGGACUGAGACACUGCCCGGACUCCUACGGGAGGCUGCAGUCGAGAAUCUUCCGCAAUGGGCGCAAGCCUGACGGAGCGACGCCGCGUGAGGGACGAAGGCUUUAGGGUCGUAAACCUCUUUCGCUUGUUAAGAAAAGUGUAUGUUAAUAGCAUGCACCCUGACAAAGGCAAGUAAAGAAGCACCGGCUAAAUCCGUGCCAGCAGCCGCGGUAAUACGGAUGGUGCAAGCGUUACUCGGAAUCACUGGGCGUAAAGCGUUCGUAGGUGGUUUAUUAAGUUGGAUGUGUAAUCCCACGGCUUAACCGUGGAACUGCGUUCAAAACUGAUAAACUAGAGAGCAGUAGGGGACAAGGGAACUUCGGGUGGAGCGGUGAAAUGCGUAGAUAUCUGAAGGAACACCGAUGGCGAAAGCACUUGUCUGGGCUGAUUCUGACACUGAGGAACGAAAGCUAGGGUAGCGAACGGGAUUAGAUACCCCGGUAGUCCUAGCCGUAAACGAUGGAUACUAGC